rnacentral:rRNA from 1 species
AGCAGUAGGGAAGUCUUCCACAAUGGGCGGCAAGCCUGAUGGAGCAACACCGCGUGAGUGAAGAAGGGUUUCGGCUCGUAAAGCUCUGUUGUUAAAGAAGAACACGUAUGAGAGUAACUGUUCAUACGUUGACGGUAUUUAACCAGAAAGUCACGGCUAACUACGCGCCAG